rnacentral:sRNA from 1 species
CUUUAAUCUGAUUGCGUUAGGGAUAGCAGCGCAAAUCCUUUUUCUAGCUGUCGCUUCAAAGCGAUAGUUAGAAAAAGAUUGUAGCGGAUAGCCCGACCGCGG